UACAGAGGUCUCAAGCGUUGUUCGGAUUCAUUGGGCGUAAAGGGUGUGUAGGCGGCGCCGUAAGUCGGGUGUGAAAUUUCGGAGCUUAACUCCGAAACUGCAUUCGAUACUGCGGUGCUUGAGGACUGGAGAGGAGACUGGAAUUCAUGGUGUAGCAGUGAAAUGCGUAGAGAUCAUGAGGAACACCGAUGGCGAAGGCAGGUCUCUGGGCUGACACUGACGCUCAUGCACGAAAGCGUGGGGAGCAAACAGG
rnacentral:rRNA from 1 species